GACAGAGGGUGCAAACGUUGUUCGGAAUUACUGGGCGUAAAGCGCGUGUAGGCGGCCCCUGCAAGUCGGGGUGUGAAAUCCCCACGGCUCAACCCGUGGAAAGUGCACUCGAAACUGCAGGGCUAGAGUCCUGGAGAGGAAGGUGGAAUGCUUGGUGUAGAGGUGAAAUUCGGUAGAUAUCAAGCGGAACACCGGUGGCGAA
rnacentral:rRNA from 1 species